rnacentral:lncRNA from 1 species
CGGCCCCCUUAUUUCGUUCAAAUUAAAAGUGACCUGCCUUUAAUUAUAAUACAUUAUUUUUAAAGUUUAAAACCUAUAUUUGUGUAAACAUCAAUAGAUUUUUCAACUUCCGUUGAUAUUAUUCAUGCUCUGUUGCUGUAAAGACCUCAAGAUUCGCGAAAAGGCCAGAAAAAUGGCAGUUUCUAAACCUUUUUCUGCAUUUUAAACUAUGAGCGUACCUACGACCCACGAUCAUAUUUAUACCAGACAUUCCUUGAACAUAAAUGUUGAUGCAGUUCAAAUAUUUU